rnacentral:misc_RNA from 1 species
AACUUUUAACAACGGAUCUCUUGGCUCUCGCAUCGAUGAAGAACGCAGCGAAAUGCGAUAAGUAAUGUGAAUUUCAGAAUUCAGUGAAUCAUCGAAUCUUUGAAUGCAUCUUGCGCUCCUUGGUAUUCCGAGGAGCAUGCCUGUUUGAGUGUCAUUUACCUUAUCAACCGCUUCAGAUUUUUUAUUUUGAAUGUGUCUAGGACUUGGGGGGUUCUUUGCUGGCUUUUAGAAAAAGGUCAGCUCCCCUGAAACGCAUUAGUGGCAUCUGAGCUGAUACUGUAGGUGUGCUAAAUAUCUAUGCCUUUGGUAAGCAUGCAUGAACACAUUGCGCUGCUCAAAACCCAACUUUGACAAACUUGACCUCAAAUCAGGUAGUACUACCUGCUGAACUUACAUAUAUCAAUAAGCGGAGGCU